GAUGAACGCUGGCGGCGUGCCUAAUACAUGCAAGUCGAGCGAACGGACGAGAAGCUUGUUUCUCUGAUGUUAGCGGCGGACGGGCGAGUAACACGUGGAUAACCUACCUAUAAGACUGGGAUAAUUUCGGGAAACCGGAGCUAAUACCGGAUAAUAUUUUGAACCGCAUGGUUCAAAAGAGAUAGACGGUCUUGCUGUCACUAAUAGAUGGUUUCGCGCUGCAUUAGCUAGUUGGUAAGGUAACGGCUAACCAAGGCAACGAUGCAUAGCGGACCUGAGGGAGGAAUCGGCCACACGGAAACUGAGACACGGUCCAAACUCCAACGGGAGGCAGCAGGAGGAAAUCUGGCGCAAGGGGCGAAAGCCUGACGAGGCAACGCCGCUUGAGUGAGGAAGGUCUUCGGUUCGUAAAACUCUGUUAUGAGGAAAGAACAUAUGUGUAAGUAACUGUGCACAUCUGAACGGUACCUAAGCAGAAAGCCACGGCUAACUACGG
rnacentral:rRNA from 1 species